UCGAGUGUGUUUUCUCUUCAAACCACGCAUAAAUAUUUCGCCUUUUACUAGAGAUUUCCGUGGAGAGCAGCAUUUAAUGAGUCGAAAGACUAUUUUUUAACCCUGUGUUUUUAAAAGAUAGA